AGUUUAUCAAGAUUUUGUUGUUAUACAUCAGUACUUAUCUGAUUGUCAAUUUUUGUUUUCUCUCUUUAUAGCACUGAACUGGCCAAGGCUUACCAAACUGUUAACAUUCUGUCUGCCGUUUUGAAGGCUGUUAAUUUGAAACAAUUUACUGAAGUUGAUCCUGAGAUUUUUGAAGCUCAAAAUAAGGUCACAGAGAUCACAAGGAAUGGUGCUCUUUACAAUAUUAUCCCUCUUGGUCCUGAGAAUAUUGAUGAAGCAAUGUCAAAAUAUCCCGAGAUCCAAGCAGCUGUUUUUGCCCUUCGUAACACCCGAGGUCUUCCAUGGCCCAGGUAUCACAAGAACAAAAAAGAUGACGAUAUUCUAGAUUGGAUUCAGCAAACAUUUGGGUUCAAGAAGUCUAACGUGGAAAACCAAAGAGGACAUCUGAUUUUAUUACUUGCAAAAA